ensembl:snRNA U4 U4 spliceosomal RNA
AGCUUUGUACAGGGGCAGGAUCGUAGUCAAUGAGGUUUAUCUGAACUGUGAUUAUUGCUAAUUGAAAACUUUUCCCGAUAUCCCACUGUGACGAUGUGAAAUAUAAAAGAUUCUACCAAAGG